GACGAACGCUGGCGGCGUGCCUAAUACAUGCAAGUAGAACGCUGAAACUUGGUGCUUGCACCGAGCGGAUGAGUUGCGAACGGGUGAGUAACGCGUAGGUAACCUGCCUGGUAGCGGGGGAUAACUAUUGGAAACGAUAGCUAAUACCGCAUAAGAGUAGAUGUUGCAUGACAUUUGCUUAAAAGGUGCAAUUGCACCACUACCAGAUGGACCUGCGUUGUAUUAGCUAGUUGGUGGGGUAACGGCUCACCAAGGCGACGAUACAUAGCCGACCUGAGAGGGUGAUUGGCCACACUGGGACUGAGACACGGCCCAGACUCCUACGGGAGGCAGCAGUAGGGAAUCUUCGGCAAUGGACGGAAGUCUGACCGAGCAACGCCGCGUGAGUGAAGAAGGUUUUCGGAUCGUAAAGCUCUGUUGUAAGAGAAGAACGAGUGUGAGAGUGGAAAGUUCACACUGUGACGGUAUCUUACCAGAAAGGGACGGCUAACUACGUG
rnacentral:rRNA from 1 species